GCCAGCAUGGUUUAGUGGUUUGAGUGUUGAACUCUGACUCUUGAGACCAGGGUUUAAAUCCCUGCUCAGCCA